ensembl:snRNA U4 U4 spliceosomal RNA
AGCUUUGCACAGUGGCAGUAUCGUAGCCAAUGAGGUUUAUACAAGGUGUGAUUAUUGCUAAUUAAAACUUUUCACAAUAACUUGCUGUGAUGACUUGCAAUAUAGUUGGCAUUGGCCGUUUUUGAUAGUCUCUAUGGAGA